rnacentral:rRNA from 1 species
UACGUAGGGUGCAAGCGUUGUCCGGAAUUAUUGGGCGUAAAGAGCUCGUAGGCGGUUUGUCGCGUCGACUGUGAAAACCCGAGGCUUAACCUCGGGCCUGCAGUCGAUACGGGCAGACUAGAGUUCGGUAGGGGAGACUGGAAUACCUGGUGUAGCGGUGAAAUGCGCAGAUAUCAGGAGGAACACCGGUGGCGAAGGCGGGUCUCUGGGCCGAUACUGACGCUGAGGAGCGAAAGCGUGGGGAGCGAACAGG